GCUUGCCAGCCUUGCAGCUGGGGCUCCAACCCAGUGAGUCUCUUCCCUCUGCCUCUCUGUUCUCCAUUUCACCACCCACCUGGAAAAGAAUACAGGUGGUUUUGCCAUUCCCUUGCUCGGGCACAGGCAAGAUUGACCAACAGUGACUCUAGAUAUGGCCCAAGGCAGCAUCUUCCACAGAGGUCCUGCCCAGGAGCCCGCAGGGAGAGAGAUUCACCGGCUCUCCAGGCAGGCCCAGCUUUGGCCACUUUUCCCUGGGACCAUCUGUGUCUCCCCACCCCCCCAUCACUCCCCUCUACCUUCCUUUCAGCCACCUCCGGGUUUCAAAAAUGCCCUCAGAAUAAUCGCAGGCUGCUUUUCUUACCUCUAUCCCACCAGAGAUACAGUAAGAAAGAGAUAGAAACACAGAAAGAGAAGUAUGAGGGGUGUGUAUGUGGAAAGAGCACGAAACAGAGCCACACAUGCAAAGACAACAGAGGGAAGACGAAACCCAAAAAGGAGCCGAGACCGGGUGAGUUCCGAAAUAACGGCUCCCCUCAAACCCACAGGCUGGCCCAGGGCCACUGUCAACCCAACUGGUGCUCUGGAGUGAAUCAGAGAGAGGCACCCUGGCUGGGUUCCAGAGCCCUCUGGCCUUUGACCCAGCCCUGCCCUGCUGUGUGCCUGCGGGGGAGGAGGGCCACUUUCAGUGCCACCCAGUCCACAGAUCUGACCCACAGAUGCAGCUACAGAAGUCCCUGGAAGCCUCUGGGAAAUGCCCGGUUCUCUCCCUGUGGCCGUGAGCCUGAGUCCAGCCCUCCGCACUUGCCCACUGGGCCUUCCCCCACAGCAGGUCCCCAGGUCAUGUUACCCCUGCCUUCAUCACUCAUGAGUGUCAUCCCACCCACACAAGCCAGCCAAGGACUUCAAGGGGCCGAGAUGAGGCCCUUGUGCCUGCAUCAGUGCGCAGACCCUCUUCCUGCUUCCACAGGAUACCUCCCAGCCUCAGAGACCUUCUCUGUAGUUCAUGGGAACCCUCCGGAGGUAGGGGGGCAGGAGGUGGCAUGA
rnacentral:lncRNA from 2 species